rnacentral:rRNA from 1 species
AAAGUCGUAACAAGGUUUCCGUAGGUGAACCUGCGGAAGGAUCAUUACUGAGUUUUUGAACGGGUUGUAGCUGGCCUUUAAAAAAAAAUAAGGCAUGUGCACGCCUGGCUCAUCCACUCUUUUAACCUCUGUGCACUUUAUGUAGAAAAUGGCAGAAGCUGGCUUUUAUUGAUAUGAUGUGAUAUGAUGUACAUCUAUUCAUCUGUAUCAUACAGAGUCAAGCCGACGUCUUUUCUAUGUUUUUUACUAUCAACGCUACAGUAACAGAAUGUUUUAAUGGGCAUAUAAUGGAUUAUAAAUACAACUUUCAGCAACGGAUCUCUUGGCUCUCGCAUCGAUGAAGAACGCAGCGAAAUGCGAUAAGUAAUGUGAAUUGCAGAAUUCAGUGAAUCAUCGAAUCUUUGAACGCACCUUGCGCUCCUUGGUAUUCCUUGGAGCAUGCCUGUUUGAGUAUCAUGGAAUUCUCAACUCUCAGGAUUUGUGUUUUUUGUUUAACAACAAAAAAUGCGUCUUGGUGAGCUUGGACUUGGAGGCUGUGCAGGCUGUUAUUAUUUCAGUCAGCUCCUCUGAAAUGCAUUAGUGUGAAUCUUUACUGAUCGCCUUCAGUGUGAUAAAUGUCGACGCUGUGGCUUUCAAGUAAAUUCAUGUGUUCAUGCUUAUAACUCUGUCGUCUUCAUUGUUGUUGUUAUUAUGUUAGUAAUAAUAAUGACAUUGAAAGAGUGAACAUGUUGGACUUCUGAUCUCAAAUCAGGUAGGACUACCCGCUGAACUU